UACGUAGGGUGCAAGCGUUAAUCGGAAUUACUGGGCGUAAAGCGUGCGCAGGCGGUUUUGUAAGCCAGAUGUGAAAGCCCCGGGCUCAACCUGGGAAUGGCAUUUGGGACUGCAAGGCUUGAGUGCGGUAGAGGAGACUGGAAUUCCUGGUGUAGCAGUGAAAUGCGUAGAUAUUCGGAAGAACACCAGUGGCGAAGGCGACUCACUGGACAUGUAUUGACGCUGAGGUGCGAAAGCGUGGGGAGCAAACAGG
rnacentral:rRNA from 1 species